UACAGAGGUCUCAAGCGUUGUUCGGAUUCAUUGGGCGUAAAGGGUGCGUAGGCGGCGCGGUAAGUCGGGUGUGAAAUCUUGGAGCUUAACUCCGAAACUGCAUUCGAUACUGCCGUGCUUGAGGACUGGAGAGGAGACUGGAAUUUACGGUGUAGCGGUGAAAUUCGUAGAUAUCGAGAGGAACACCGGUGGCGAAGGCGGCCUUCUGGACAGUGACUGACGCUGAGACACGAAAGCGUGGGGAGCAAACAGG
rnacentral:rRNA from 1 species